UUUUUAUUAAUUAACUUCCAAAAAUUAAUAUUUACGAUUGCAAAUUAAAAUCCAAACUCGAUAGUAAUCCGCAGUAAACAUAAGCCUCCCCCUCUCAUCGUCAUAAACCUUUUCGAAUUCGACGUUCCCCUGCGGCAAUCGGAGAAUCUAGGUUUUUUCUUCCGCACGAUUGGAGCCACGCCGAACGAUUCAGGUUUUGUGUAAAGUGUGUGUGUGAGGAGGAUCACUUCGUUAGAUGGAGAUCGACUCGCGUGCAAAUAAUUCUCUCCUCAAGAGACUUGCGUCUGUUGGGGUACCUAAGAAAUGCUGUUCCAAGCGUGGCUUAGUUGAAUUCAUUAGAGCUAACCGAUCCAGGACUUCGGAGAUCGUCUCCGCUCUCUUACCUACAGAUGAGGAUGUGAAAAUUGGAUUGAAGGGAACUAGGGAACGCUCUCGUUUGUCUGCGGUGAGUCCCACCAUGAAGAAGAGGUUCAGGGAGAGCAUGAGCUGGCUGCAGUGGCUGAUGUUCCACGACGAGCCUGGCGUUUCCUUGAAGAAUCUGGCGAAACUGAACGUUGAUCAGCGAGGCGUCUGCGGCUCCGUCUGGGGAGAAAACGACAUAGCGUAUCGGUGCAGGACGUGCGAGAGUGAUUCGACUUGCGCGAUCUGUGUGGCUUGUUUCGAGAAUGGCGAUCACAGCUCCCACGAUUAUUCGAUCACCUACACGAGCGGUGGCUGUUGUGAUUGUGGGGACGAUACGGCGUGGAAGCAAGAAGGUUUCUGUUCGAAUCAUAAAGGCUCCGAGCAGAUUCAGCCCCUCUCGGAGAAUCUAGCGGAGUCAGUUGGGCCUGUACUUGAUGCUCUUUUUGCUUGUUGGAAUAGCAAGCUCUUAUCCGCGGAAGGUAUUCGUAACAAAGAUGCUAGAUCCAACGAUGCUCUUGCGGUACGCCAAAAGAUGUCCAACGAGAUGACAUUCGCAGUGGUUGAGAUGCUUCUGGGGUUUUAUAAGUCCAGUGAGAGUUUGCUAAGUUUCGUUUCUAGAAGGAUUGUCGCUUCAGGUGGUUUAUUGAUACUUCUCGUAAAGGCUGAGAGGUUCUUGGACCAAGAUGUUAUGAAGAAACUGCAUGACUUGUUCCUCAAAUUGAUAGGAGAUCCAGUCUUUAAAUCGGAAUUUGCAAAAGCGCUUGUGAGUUACUAUCCGCUUGUCGUUAGUGGAGCGGUUAAGAAGGGUGAGGAUCCCAACUUCAUGAAAUAUCCAAUACUGCCUCUGUUUUCUGUGCAAUUCUUCACGGUGCCAACUCUAGCAACAGUUCUGGUGAACGAAAUGAAUUUGCUAGCAAUGCUUUUGGGAUGCCUCAGUGAUAUCUUUCUUUCUUGUUGUGGGGAGGAUGGUGUGCUACAGGCUACAAAGUGGGUACGGUUGUGUGACACAAGUGACCGUGUCAUUUCAGACUUGAAAUAUGUUAUGAGCCAUGCUGUAGUUUCGAAGUACGCAACACAUGAACAUCUGGAGUUAUCAAGAUCAUGGUUGAAACUAUUGACCUUUGUUCAAGGAAUGGAUCCUCUGAAAAGAGAGACUGGAAUCCAUAUUGAAGAAGAAAAUGAGAACGUGCAUUUGUUCUGUGAUUUGAGUCACUCAAUAGUUGGUAUUCACUCUCUGUUGGUUAAUGGUGCAUAUUCUCCUGCCAGUGAUGAACAAUUAGAAAUUGAGAGAACCACCAAGGCUACACUAAAUAAUUGUGAUGGAGUUGGAGAAAGGUAUGCAAAAGUUGGGAAAUUGUCUCAUGAAGAUUCUGUAUGUACUGCGAUGAUAAGUAGCAGCUUCUUUGAUAGCUCGAUGGCUUCUGAAGUUUACGGAGUUGACGCUUUCCAUGCCCUGAUUCCUUCCUCUGCCAUAUGGUUGAUACGCGAGUGUUUGAAAGUUCUGGAGACUUGCUUAGGAAAUGAUGAAGGUGUAUCAAAAUUUCUUGGCAAGUUUGUUUCUCCUAGCGGCAGAAGUGUAUCUAGUGGUCAUGCCAGUUCUAGUAGAGAACCGAGUACGGAGGUUCAGGCAGAUGUUAGGACUGAUUGUAGGAGAGUAUCUCGCAACUCUUCCGAUCCUACGCAGAAUGCAUCAGGAGUACAUAUACUUGGUUUGUGUGAUUGGCCGGACAUCCACUACGAUGUGAGCUUUCAGGCUAUAUCAGUCCAUCUACCGUUACACCGAUUAUUUUCUUUGCUCAUAGGAAAAGCAUUAAGGAUGUGUUAUGGAGAAUCAACUUUGCACCAUGGAGUCAAUGUUAGUCUUGAGAUCCCACAGGCCGACUUCUUCAGCUAUGUGUUAGGAGAUUUCCAUCCUUGUGGAUUUUCUGCACUUGUUAUGGAGCAUGUUCUCCGGGUAAGGGUGUUCUGUGCCCAAGUUAUCGCUGGAAUGUGGAAGAAGAAUGGGGACACUGCAUUAGUAUCUUGUGAGUGGUAUCGGUCAGUUCGUCGGUCAGAACAGGGGCUUGAACUUGAUAUAUUUUUCCUGCAAUGUUGUGGUGCGUUGGCUCCUCCAGAUUCUUACGUUAAUAAGCUUCUCAGUCGAUUUGGCCUCUCGAGCUAUCUUUCACUAAACCCCGAUAUAACAAAUGAGUAUGAACCAGUUUUGGUCCAGGAAAUGCUUGCUCUUCUGAUACAGAUUCUGCAAGAAAGGCGAUUUUGUGGUCUUUCUACUGCUGAAAGUUUGAGAAGAGAGAUCAUCUGCAAGUUGGCUACUGGAGAUUUCACUCGUAGUCAAUUGGUCAAAUCUUUACCCCGUGAUCUUUCCAAGUCGGAUGAGCUCCAGGAGGUCUUAGAUAACGUUUCAGACUAUUGUAAUCCAUCCGGCAUGAACCAGGGAAAGUAUUCGCUACGGUCAUCUUGUUGGAAGGAUUUGGAUCUCUAUCACCCUCGUUUGCAUUCAGGAGAAUUGCAAUCUGCAGAAGAAAGAUUUUCGCGCUAUUGUGGAGCGUCUGCGUUGACCACUCAGCUUCCUAGGUGGCGAAUGAUCUACCCGCCUCUAAAGGGGCUUUCUAGAAUAGGAACUUGCAAAGCCACUUUUCAAAUCAUUUCCUCUGCUUUAUACUACGCACUACAGGGUGGUAGUUCUGUUAAAUCACGUGCUCCAGAUGGCGUUCUCAUAACCGCUUUGCACUUACUCUCGCUAUCAUUGGAUAUUUGCACUCAACAAAGGGAGUCUAAUAUUCAGGCUUGUUGCGUAGAAGAUUCAAUUCCUAUUCUCGAAUUAGCUGGUGUGGAAAUAAUGGGUAUAAAUAAAAGGACUGGAAAUGAAAGUUUGUUGUCUCUUCUUGUUUCAUUAAUGAGGACUCGUAAAGACGAUGGUCUCCAUCAGUUUCCAGAGGCAGGCAGUUGCAAUAUUUCGUCCUGGAUUGCAAAGUUGCUGAAGAAGUUCAGUGCAAUUGAUUCCGUUAGUAUGAAGCUAUUGCAAAGUCUUGCCCCGGAGGUUGUCGGUCAAUCUGGAUUUGAUAAAGUCACGUCAGGCGCUGCUUCUGAUGCGAAACGCAAGGCUAAAGCUAGAGAGAGGCAGGCUGCUAUUCUGGCAAAAAUGAAAGCUGAACAAACAAAAUUCUUGUCGACCUUGAGUUCCAGCAUGGAUGAUGAUGAUCCAAGAUCUGAAACUGAAACAAGUGAUUCCGUAAUGGAACAGGAUUCAGAAAUUGCUGUUCGUGAAGUUUGUUCUCUCUGCCAUGACCCAGAUUCCAAAGACCCGGUUUCUUUCUUGAUUUUUCUCCAGAAAUCUAAACUUUUGAGUUUUGUGGAUAGAGGCCCUCCAUCUUGGGAUCAACGUUCACAGUCAGAAAAGAAUAGGUCCGUUGAUGGAGUUCGCGUGGUCCUGAGACGUAAUUUUUCCUCAGAUAGUUUAAUGAUUCCGCAUGAUGCAACCUCUGAGCCUGCUACAGAUUCCGUGUUUGAAGCUUUAACAACCCGGCUUAUAAGGAAUGGUCAGACGGAGAAGAGGUCUAGCGAUGGGAGUGGAAAAGAUGAAUCUAACAUGGAAUCAAUGGAAAUAGCUAUGUAUCAAACUGUUCGCAGAAAAAUUGAUAACAUUAUAAAUCAAAGCCUUGCACAUGUAGAUGAACGACCACUUGCUGCUGAAAGUAGUUCAGAGAGAAAUCCUGUUGGUGGUAUACCUACUUUGCAAGUAAGAGUUCGUGAUAUUCGAUCAAGACAAACCUCUAGACAUUCGGAUGUCAGUUCAGAUGGGUUUCACCCUACUGACUGUGAUGGGGUUUAUCUUUCAUCAUGUGGACAUGCUGUGCAUCAAAGCUGCCUUGAACGAUAUUUAAAGUCCUUAAUGGAAAGGUCUGACAGAAGAAAUGUCUUUGAAGGUGCACAUAUUGUGGAUCUAAAACAGGGGGAAUUUCUCUGUCCUGCAUGCCGGGGACUAGCUAAUUCUGUAUUGCCUGCAUGUCCCGGAGAUUUAUGUUCUGUCUCAAGUAUACAGGAAAGUUCGCAUGAUACGUUAGGUAAAUCAGAUGCACAGAUGCCUUCUCUUUGGCUCUCUGAAGCGUUGUGUCUACUACGAUCUGUGGCUGACGAGAUCGAAGAUGGUGAUGGCGUUAGCACAGUUUCUCUGGUGGGAGAUGAAUCAAUAAGGAAAGAUCUUGAAUCUGUUUCUAACAAGCUCUGGAAUUUCUAUUUUUCUAAGCGACAGGAAAAUUUUCCGGGAGGUCAUUGGCUAUCACAAUCAAUCGUAAUGUGGGAUACCCUUAAGUACUCUCUUAUUUCAAUGGAAAUUGUUACUCGAUGUGCGAAGAGUUCAGUGCUUCCUGUCUAUUGUAUUGACUCCUUGUAUGAAGAGUUAAAUACCUCUAAGGGAACUGCUUUGUCACUCUUAUUACGAGUGGUACAGAGCACCCGAACAAAGAAUACUUUACAUGUUUGUCAGAGAUUUGUGGGCUUGAAGCAUCUUGCAGAGUCUAUAUGCUCUGGAAUUUCAAAUAGUCCUUCGAGCAGCAUUUUUGGAACUGAAGCAGGUUCAAACCUGCUCUGGAAUCGAUCAUCUGAUCCAGUUCUUUUCCAUGACCCAUUUUCAUCACUGAUGUGGGCUCUUUUUUGUCUCCCUUCUCCUUUCAUCACAUGCAAGGAAUCUUUAUUAUCACUUGUGCAUAUUUUCUAUAGCGUGUCUCUUGUUCAGACUGUAAUUGCCUAUUGCGCAGGUCGCAUGUUUGACUUGAGUAACGUAGAUAACCUGCUUAGCGACAUCUCCAUCGCUUUGAGAGAAUCAGGUGGUUGGGAGUAUUUCAGGUCUAACAAUAUGGAUUUAUCAUGUGAUAUAAAAGAGACUAUCCGUAAAUAUAGUCUUCCUUUCUUGAGGAGAUGUGCAUUGCUGUGGAGGCUACUGAAAACUACCACUUCUGGAAAGCUUCAUGAAGAGGUAGAUAAGUUUGAUGAGUCCACCAGUGACAGUAUGGAUUUCAUGCACAGUCCCCUGUCGGAGCUGAAUCAUGUGAAUGAAUUGGAGAAAAUGUUCAAGAUUCCGCCUAUUGAUACCAUUCUCAGUGAUGAACUUCUCCGGUCCUCAACACAAUCAUGGCUUGGACAUUUCCAGAAGGAAUACAAAGUAUACAGAGUUAAAGAGCCUCUUUGCAUAACACCUGUAGUUCCUUUCCAGCUUAUGAAGUUACCCAAUUUAUACCAGGACCUAUUGCAAAGGUAUAUCAAGAAACCUUGCAGCAACUGCAAGACAGUUAUGGAAGAACCUGCAUUAUGUCUUCUUUGUGGAAGAUUGUGUUCUCCCAUAAAGCCACCUUGUUGCAGAGAAAGUGGUUGUCAGACUCAUGCAGUCACCUGUGGUGCUGGUACUGGUGUAUUUCUUCUGAUACGGCGGACCACAAUUUUGCUACAAAGAUUUGGAAGACAAUCAUCUUGGCCAUCACUUUACUUGGAUACGUUUGGAGAAGAAGAUACUAAUAUGUUCAGAGGAAAACGACUAUACCUGAAUGAAGAACGUUACGCUGCGUUAACAUACAUGGUUGGUUCUCAUGGACUCGAUCACAGCUCCUAAGUUCUCAAUCCAACGACGCUAGGAAUUUUCUUAACUUGAAAAAGAUCUUUAUAUCUUUUUUUCUCUCAGCCACAUCAUCAGGAAGGUAUGGGCUUUUUGUGACACCUAUCACUUAACCAAUUCAAUCGUAAAAUCAUAAAAUCUUCAGUAAAUUUUCAGAAACUUGAAGCGCCUUUCUGAUCUCCAUAACGUCUCAACCUUCCAUUAAUAUGUUUCUAACUCCGCUUGAUUAAUCCACUCCUCCCAUUGGAAGCAUUCAGUCAGACCUCUUCGCAUCUCCCUUCACUACUCCUAUCUAAAUUCAUCCAAUCUUUCAUGCAAUCAGAAUCGUGUUCCUCUAGAGGAGCAGAAGAUAAAGUCAUGGCCAUGAGUUUUGUUAGAUCCACCGGAAAAUCUUGAAUUUCUACGGUUCCAAAGGCAAAGCGAUUUAUCAGGUUUGUGUUUACUCCAUUCAUUUUCAUUAUUAAUCUCUUUUCUAAACCCGCGUUCCGAUCCUGUCGGAGCUCCACCCGUGACCACCAUGAGAUCAAUAUCAGUCCUCAAGCUUCAUUUGGCAGGGGAAUAAUUUUGAAAAACGUCAAAUGCGGUGGAAAGACUUUCCGUCACCGGCUGAUCCGGAAAUCAAGUGAUUGAAUCACGAGCAGGGAAAGAUGGGUUUGGGUUUGAUCUUGGACGCAACGAAGGAUGAUGAACCAGAUCCAUAUACUCGCGGACAUGGUGGGUACUUAGUUAGUCUCGGACCCGAUAUGCUACUUUUUAAAGAUCACUUUCUCCUCAAUUUGUUCGUUUAUGUCCUCUUCUAUAAAGCAUUGAUUUUAAGAUAAGAACUAUUGAGCUUGAUACCAAACGCAUCAAGCUCCAGAUUUGGGAUACUGCUGGUCAAGAACGUUUUCGAACCAUCACCACUUGUCAGUGUACUUUCGUUCUAAUAGUGUUCUUAGCGUCCGUUGUCCCACUGAAAACUGAAUUAGAGAGGAUUGAGAGUCACUAGCAGAAAGGAUCUCUUUUUUUCUUUCUGUGCAGUCUACUUAAUGCUAUGGAUGAUGCUUUGAGGAUAUUUAGUUUUUCUUAUUCAACAAAGAAGAUACUUCUCUCACAUUUUUGUCUCCGUAUGAUAAGUUAGUAUUUCACUGAUUUUGUUUUGAUAUUGUUGUUACUUUGUUUCCUUUCUUAUGGGUCUCAUUUUCACAUAAUCUCUUCUUGUCUACAUGCAUUUUUCAUCCAAGCCUCAGUGAACAGAAGCAACAACGAUUUCAAGCUUUUAGAUUCAAUCGUUGCGAUCUGACUCCACGAGUUUACUAAGUUGGUCAAAGUCCAUGCUGUUGCUAAUCCCAUCCCAACUGAGAUGUUCAUGUUUCGUGAGCUCGAGCAAGUGAUGGCGUUGACAAAUACAAAUGUCGAGUUGCAGACAUCAUUGAUGAGAUUUGCGAGACCAUGACAACAUACGAUGAUCAAAGCCAUACGACUCAAUGUGUGAUGGUGAACAUCCGAGUUGAUAAGGACAUGAUUGUCUGCUUAAGCGUUUUUGACAGCCUUACUGAACUCCUUCACAAAAGACUGGAAACUGGUGUCUGCCAGGCUAGAGUGAUGAUGCGACCAGCAACAACCCCAAGUUUGUAGGAGAUUGUGUGCCACAGCCGGUGGUGACUCCACCAGUGUGACACAGUAAGGUGGUGUCAAGGAGCUGGAGACUGUUUCAUUAGCGGAGUUGACGACCUACUUUCUGAAGUCGCCACCACAAGCAGGUUAUUGAGUUUCUAUACACCACCAAAGUUUUAUAGGAACUACAAACAGAUGGUGCUACAUCUCAUGUGCCAAGUGUUUCAGAAAACUACAGCGUGAAAUUUCCUAACGCAAGUGCUGUUAAUGUUCUCAGGUGAAGCGGGUGAAGAUUGGGCUGUAUUGUAGCAUCUGUAUGAGUAAUGUGAGAAAUGUCAGGGCUGUAGAGGUUCCUCAUCCAAUGGGACAAGGUGAGGAGCAAGACCCAAGGAACCCAUCCAAAAAAGCCUGGACUUAGUUUCCUGCAUUGAGCACUAUACAGGAACAUAUCCAUUGGUUUCUCCCAUGGUUAAUUGAACUCACUUUAUGUUUUCCAAAUAAGGGUUAAGACACUUAGUCCACCAUCUAAUUCAAGAUUUCUCUCCCUUUUGGUUCGGUUACUUAGUAAACAUUUGGGUUGUUAAUUUUACAUAUAUAUAUAUAUAUAUAUAUAUAUAUAUGCAAGCACUCCUUACCAAAUCCACUAUGAAAACAAAAUUAAAAAAUCCA